GAUGAACGCUAGCGACAGGCCUAACACAUGCAAGUCGAGGGGCAGCACAAGGGUAGCAAUACUCUGGUGGCGACCGGCGCACGGGUGAGUAUCGCGUAUGCAACCUACCUUCCACAGGGGGAUAGCCUUCCGAAAGGGAGAUUAAUACCGCAUGAAACAGGGGCCCCGCAUGGGGAUAUUUGUUAGAGAUUUAUCGGUGGAAGAUGGGCAUGCGUUCCAUUAGCUAGUUGGGGGGGUAACGGCCCACCAAGGCAACGAUGGAUAGGGGAACUGAGAGGUUGAGCCCCCACACUGGGACUGAGACACGGCCCAGACUCCUACGGGAGGCAGCAGUGAGGAAUAUUGGGCAAUGGAGGCAACUCUGACCCAGCCAUGCCGCGUGCAGGAAGACGGCCCUCUGGGUUGUAAACUGCUUUUGAAUGGGAAGAAUGUGAUGUUUGCGAGCAUUAAUGACGGUACCAUUAGAAUAAGCCACGGCUAACUACGUGCCAGCAGCCGCGGUAAGAC
rnacentral:rRNA from 1 species